AUGGCUCGAUAUUGGAACUUUUGGCCCUUAACACAUGUGAGAAAAGAUACCUGAUUCAGUGCCGCCCUCGACGUUCUCGUGAAACGACAUGCAUAGCUUUAAGUUAAAUUGCUUUAUAUAACAUACCUACAACAAUUCUUUGUUCCUGAUGAAGAUGAAAAAUUAAUAAAUACUCAUCGAAAUAUCGAAUUCAACAGAA
rnacentral:lncRNA from 1 species